rnacentral:lncRNA from 1 species
AAACCAGUGAUGGUCAAGCAUCCUUCUGCGACUCGGAGUUCCUGCCCAGUGUGUCUGCAUUACAGCUUACAGAGGAAGGGUAUAGGAAGAAUCCAUCUGGAUACGUCACUGUACUGAAGUUGCCAAUGAAGCCCACAUUUUGCCAAGCAGCCAUGACUGUGCUAUAGCAUCAUCUGUAGCUUUAGGGAGGAAUCUGCCCAGAUCCCGGCAGUUCAUUGCUAAGACUGAAGGGGUGAAA